rnacentral:rRNA from 1 species
CGCUAGCUACAGGCUUAACACAUGCAAGUCGAGGGGCAGCAUGGUCUUAGCUUGCUAAGGCUGAUGGCGACCGGCGCACGGGUGAGUAACACGUAUCCAACCUGCCGUCUACUCUUGGCCAGCCUUCUGAAAGGAAGAUUAAUCCAGGAUGGCAUCAUGAGUUCACAUGUCCGCAUGAUUAAAGGUAUUUUCCGGUAGACGAUGGGGAUGCGUUCCAUUAGAUAGUAGGCGGGGUAACGGCCCACCUAGUCAACGAUGGAUAGGGGUUCUGAGAGGAAGGUCCCCCACAUUGGAACUGAGACACGGUCCAAACUCCUACGGGAGGCAGCAGUGAGGAAUAUUGGUCAAUGGGCGAUGGCCUGAACCAGCCAAGUAGCGUGAAGGAUGACGG